GACGAACGCUGGCGGCGUGCCUAAUACAUGCAAGUCGAGCGAGCGGAACUAACAGAUUUUACUUCGGUAAAGACGUUAGGAAAGCGAGCGGCGGAUGGGUGAGUAACACGUGGGGAACCUGCCCCAUAGUCUGGGAUACCACUUGGAAACAGGUGCUAAUACCGGAUAAGAAAGAAGAACGCAUGAUCAGCUUUUAAAAGGCGGCGUAAGCUGUCGCUAUGGGAUGGCCCCGCGGUGCAUUAGCUAGUUGGUAAGGUAAAGGCUUACCAAGGCGAUGAUGCAUAGCCGAGUUGAGAGACUGAUCGGCCACAUUGGGACUGAGACACGGCCCAAACUCCUACGGGAGGCAGCAGUAGGGAAUCUUCCACAAUGGACGCCAAGUCUGAUGGAGCAACGCCGCGUGAGUGAAGAAGGUUUUCGGAUCGUAAAGCUCUGUUGUUGGUGAAGAAGG
rnacentral:rRNA from 1 species